rnacentral:rRNA from 1 species
CGGUUGAUCCUGCCGGAGGUCACUGCUAUUGGGAUUCGACUAAGCCAUGCGAGUCGAGAGGGUUCGGCCCUCGGCUGACGGCUCAGUAACACGUGGAUAAUCUGCCCUAAGGUGGAGGAUAACCUCGGGAAACUGAGAAUAAUACUCCAUAGGUCUAGGAGGCUGGAAUGCAUCUAGACCUAAGGCUCCGGCGCCUUAGGAUGAGUCCGCGGACUAUCAGGUAGUAGUCAGGGUAACGACCUGACUAGCCUACGACGGAUACGGGUUGUGAGAGCAAUAACCCGGAGACGAUAUCUGAGACACGAUAUCGGGCCCUACGGGGCGCAGCAGGCGCGAAACCUUCACACUGCGCGAAAGCGUGAUGAGGGGAUCCCAAGUGCUAGCACGUAAGUGUUAGCUGUUUCCUAGUCUAAAAAACUGGGAGAGUAAGAGCUGGGUAAGACGGGUGCCAGCCGCCGCGGUAAUACCUGCAGCUCGAGUGGUGACCGCUAUUAUUGGGCCUAAAACGUCCGUAGCCUGUUUAGUAAAUGCUUGGGUAAAUUGUGUAGCUUAAACUAUACAAAUACCGGGUAGACUGCUAAACUUGGGACCGGGAGAGGCUAGAGGUACUCCUGGGGUAGAGGUGAAAUUCUGUAAUCCUAGGGGGACCACCAGUGGCGAANGCGUCUAGCCAGAACGGGUCUGACGGUGAGGGACGAAGCCCUGGGGCGCGAACCGGAUUAGAUACCCGGGUAGUCCAGGGUGUAAACGCUGCUCGCUUGAUGUUAGCCANGCUCCGAGCCUAGCUAGUGUCGGAGAGAAGUUGUUAAGCGAGCUGCCUGGGAAGUACGGUCGCAAGACUGAAACUUAAAGGAAUGCGG